ensembl:snoRNA
UUCCACCCUAAUCCCCGUGGCCAGCGUGGCCUGCAGGCUUCGCUGGUAGACCAGAACAUGC